UUCACUUCUCAGACUUUUGGCUAAGAUCAAGUAUAGUAUCUGUUCUUAUCAGUUUACUAUCUGAUACAUCCUCUUUCUAAGGACAAUGCACUAAAUAUUUUUUGGAACAGGAAAUGAAAUGGGAUUUUGCUUCAUCUGCCCCACUCAUCAGCUACUAUUGUAGUAUCUCCAGGAAUGGUGCAACCUUC
rnacentral:snRNA from 1 species